AUACUUACCUUGAUCGACUGCGCGGAGAUCAAGAACACCGCGCCGUAUGGCGGAGAGCCUGCAUUGCACAUCGUGGUGCUAGCCGUCAUGAAUUGUCCUUCGGGGCCGUUCCGGUCGUAAUUUUUGCUGUCCUUCCAGAAAUGGAAUUCUUUUCACUGUGUG
rnacentral:snRNA from 20 species